UACGAAGGGGGCUAGCGUUGUUCGGAAUUACUGGGCGUAGAGCGCAGGUAGGCGGAUAUUUAAGUCAGGGGUGAAAUCCCAGAGCUCAACUCUGGAACUGCCUUUGAUACUGGGUAUCUCGAGUAUGGAAGAGGUAAGUGGAAUUCCGAGUGUAGAGGUGAAAUUCGUAGAUCUUCGGAGGAACACCAGUGGCGAAGGCUGCUUACUGGUCCAUUACUGUCGCUGAGGUGCGAAAGCGUGGGGAGCAAACAGG
rnacentral:rRNA from 1 species